GACGAACGCUGGCGGCGUGCUUAACACAUGCAAGUCGAACGAAGUGGCGAACGGGUGAGUAACGCGUAAUCAACCUGCCCUUCGGAGGGGGACGACAGUUGGAAACGACUACUAAUACCGCAUACAGAAGGAGGGGGUUGUGUUGGAUUAGCUAGUUGGAGGGGUAACGGCCCACCAAGGCGAUGAUCAGUAGCCGGUAUGGGAGGAUGGACAGCCACAUUGGGACUGGGACACGGCCCAGACUCACUCGGGAAGGAGCCAGGGUGCAUCUGCCGAAAUGGACGAAAGUCUGACGGAGCAACGCCGCGUGAGUGAUGAGGGACUUCGGGUUGUAAAGCUCUGUUAAUCGGGACGCGGUACCGGCAUAGAAAGCCACGGCUAACUACGUGCCAGCAGCCGCGGUAAUUC
rnacentral:rRNA from 1 species